rnacentral:rRNA from 1 species
AGAUUGAACGCUGGCGGCAGGCCUAACACAUGCAAGUCGAGCGGUAGAGAGGUGCUUGCAUCUCUUGAGAGCGGCGGACGGGUGAGUAAUGCCUAGGAAUCUGCCUAGUGGUGGGGGAUAACGUUCGGAAACGGACGCUAAUACCGCAUACGUCCUACGGGAGAAAGCGGGGGACCUUCGGGCCUCGCGCCAUUAGAUGAGCCUAGGUCGGAUUAGCUAGUUGGUGAGGUAAUGGCUCACCAAGGCGACGAUCCGUAACUGGUCUGAGAGGAUGAUCAGUCACACUGGAACUGAGACACGGUCCAGACUCCUACGGGAGGCAGCAGUGGGGAAUAGUUAGGACAAGUGGGACGAAAGCCUGAUCC